GGAUUAGAUACCCGGGUAGUCCACGCCCUAAACGAUGUCUACUAGUUGUCGGGUCUUAAUUGACUUGGUAACGCAGCUAACGCGUGAAGUAGACCGCCUGGGGAGUACGGUCGCAAGAUUAAAACUCAAAGGAAUUGACGGGGACCCGCACAAGCGGUGGAUGAUGUGGAUUAAUUCGAUGCAACGCGAAAAACCUUACCUACCCUUGACAUGUACGGAAGUCCGAAGAGAUUUGGAUGUGCUCGAAAGAGAACCGUAACACAGGUGCUGCAUGGCUGUCGUCAGCUCGUGUCGUGAGAUGUUGGGUUAAGUCCCGCAACGAGCGCAACCCUUGUCGUUAGUUGCUACGAAAGGGCACUCUAAUGAGACUGCCGGUGACAAACCGGAGGAAGGU
rnacentral:rRNA from 1 species